UGUGUGUACAUAAUCUAUACUUUAUUAUCUCCGUAUGACGUUUACUUAACCCCUAACAAAAAAAAAGUAUACAUUUUCACGCUAAUCAUGAACACUAACGUUAUUCUUUCGAAUAUUCGGUGAUCAGUAAAAGUAUUAUCCUUGCCUGUAUUUGUCUUCGCAUGUCUUAUUAAGUGUCAUAGACACCUACCCUGGAAAAAACGUAAAAAUGACAUAUCUGUCAAGGCAGCCCACUUUCGUCUUAGUGCGAGUGUCCUAACACUCCUGAUACACCGCAUUGAUCCUCAUUCAAGAUCGUAUUCCGGAACUGAGACAACAAGAUCGGUGAUCUAACAAUCGACAACCACGUUAUGAUCAAAGUCACAAUCACAUAAAUGCAGGUAUGGAAUUUCGACGAGGCGGAAACGGUGCCGUUGACAGAAAUGACGGAGUACGCAACCAAUUUAUCAACCACCAGUGCAAAGAAGCCACAAUUCUCUGCCAAUUAAUAAUCAAAAUAAUACUCAACAUAAUUCUUUUAAUGUAACUCUAGUCUCGCAUCUUUAGUAAAAAAAAAAGUAAAUUCAGAUCUUGCUAAGUAUUGAGGCAAUGCAUUCGCUACUGAGGAUUGAUCUAACAGAUUGCCACAUUAAGAGUUUAGAUACCAUUUAUAUUAACCGUUGUUAGGCGGCAAGCUGGUACCACAUUUGAGUUCAAGAGUAAAGUUGAAUUGAAUACGAACUUAAUAUGAAGCAAGUUGGUUUUUCACAAAAAGGGGGAAUUAGGAGGCUCUUACUGUAAAAUAUCGAUUGUUUUCGAAAUAUUAUAUU